CCUCUGAUGAUCACUGGGAAUGGCCUGAAGUUAGAAGGCAUUUUGCUAUUAUAUUAUAUUUUUUCUUGGUCUUAUUAUAUUAAAUUAUAAAUAGUACUCGUGCAUUGUACUCGCCCUUGACAACCUAGAUAUUUAAAUGUAUUUGAUGGCUCAACGGCCAUACUUUUUUCUUUGGUACAAGUUACGUGCCAUACUUUGACAGACCAGUACACACUGCGAGACAGUAACUUAAUAAAAAUUAAAUAAAAAAUAGAAAUAUAGAAGAUGUUUUCAUUCGCCGAACAACACAAAAAAUAAAAAUAUUUCGAUCCCUAAAAUCACUCGCGAGUCCCCAACCCCCUCUCUCUCUCUCAUUCCAAAUCGUUCUUCUCUCCUCCAUUCUCAUCACCACAGCAAUCUCCACCAUCGCGUUGCCGUGACCGCCGCGGUCAUUUGCCACGUCAUCACCAUACUCGAUUUGGCUCUCACUGGACCAGCCUCUCAACUAUGCGCUAAUCUACAUCACCAAUAAUCCAUCGCCGUUUUGGAGUAUGGAAGAUGAUAUAGAAGAGUUCUCUUCUCCCGAAGAUACUAAUUUCUUUGUCUUUUUCUCUUAAUAUUUUGGAUUUUUGCUUAUUGAUGUUUUGAGUGGAGAUGAGAUUUUGGGAUUUCUUGUGAAAAAAAGUUGAUUUUUCAUCUUUUUUGAUGAAAUUGUGAGAAAAAAAAAAUGAGGGAAGUGAAGUGGUGUUGAUUAGUCUCUGUUUAUGAUGUGAAGAUCGAACAUAAUUUGGAGGAGGAAGUGAAUUUUUCUCUUUUUGUUUUAUUUACAAAUUUGAAGAAAAAGCCAGCAGUAACCAAUAAGAUCAACAAUCUAGCAUUUGUUGAGAUUUGCGGAUGUAAUUUAAUGGGUGUUUUGAUGAAGGAGACUGACUUUGAUAAUUUGGGGGUUGCGGUAAUGCACAAGGUAAAAACUUUGGGUUUCAUUCUGUUACAAUGCCUUUUAAAGGCUAGCAGUAUGACAAGAAACUAUGUAUGGUAAAUAAAUGGUUUAAAGGAAUUGGGUUAAACCUUAGGGUUCAAUCAUUGUAAAAUUUAUGCGCAUAAGCAAGCAGGUUUAACGGUUGAUUAAUCAUUGGCAGAGUUAGUUACAAUUUGUUUCUCCCCAUAUAUGGUUUCGCCUUUUGAUUUUGGUUGCUUUGUUCUUGGUGCAGCCAUUGUUCAGGUCGCUAUGCAAUCUGCAAUGCAAGAAGUUAUGAGUCUUUUGGUAGACAGGUCCAAUUUUGGGGAUACUUUUAGUCCCAAUCUCAUUUAGUUGCAGUUGACUGAUUGUUCAGAUUGUAAGCUUCUUUUUUUGCUUCUCUGUAUGUGGUCUGUACUUGAGCAAGAUAAGAGUCUGUGAACACCAUAAAUUAUAUGUUUAUUUCAAAGUUUGCCAAAUUUGUAGCAGAUGUGCAUCGGUCAACACAAUAUCAAACAUCCUGUAGUAGUCCUAAAGUCCCAUUGCAUGGAAGUGGAGUUUUAACUUCUCAAUCAUCCUACCAUAUCAUUGGAAGAAAAAAGAAUCAUAUUUCAGAUGUUCCAGCUUCUGUGGUCUGUACUUGGUCGUCAUUGGUAUACAGUCCCUGGUGGAAGGAAGGUUUAUGUUGGUAAAACUGGGCAGGAAUUGACAGGUCAAGCAGCCCACAGACUAUGCUCAAAGGAAAGUUGAAACAGCCUGUGAAGGCCAGAAAAAGGAAAGCCAAAAAAUAAAAAUAGAUGAAUUUCAUGCCAUGACGGGCAUUAGUUGUAAUUGGAACUGGUAUAUGGGUAUAGGAAAUACAGAUUGGAGCCUAUUAAUUUUUUUUUUUUUUUUUACAAAAUAAAUGAACAUUGACACCGUCUUAAUUGUGACUGCAUGAUAAAAAAAAUUAAUAUAAUAUAAUGUUAGACACCAAUCAAAUACACCGAAGAGAAAAGGAAAUGGUGUGAACUGCCACUGUAAAAGCUGACACAGCAGUAUUCGGCAGGUAUACUAUAUUCAAAUGUUAAAGCAAAAUAUGAUGAGAAAGAUCCACCGAUGUUGAAAUGGUGUUCUAUGCAACAAUGGAAACUGCUCCAUAGGGGACUGACAUGUGAUUAGUGGCUGCAUAGUGGCUAUUGAAGAUAUCAGUGGCCUUUGUCAACAAUGAGCACAGAAAUUUGAUGGUGUCCUAUAGCUAAAAUUCUAGUAGUGA